CUUACAGGAAACAUUAAAUGUAAGACAGCAGAGCAGAGCCCGCUGUUCAGAUGGGGACUUUCCUAACACGCUUUGGCAGAGAGGACAGCAGUGCGCUUGCGUGUGGCGUGUAGUCGCUGUUGCCCUAACCAGGUUGCCUGUGACAUCCUGCUACCAAGUCCAAAGGAACAACCCGGGUGUACAGGGAAUCAUGUCGGCAAGGCCAUCCCAACCUCUCUACUGAGCAGGCCCUACAGUCUCCGUGGCCUCGGGAAACAAGCUCCUACCCCACUCACUCGGGAGCGAACACCGGUGACCGGGGCUGCGCUGCGGACUUUUCUCCACGUUGACUUCGAGGAUUCAGCCCUUUUUCUGUCUCCUGUCCUGCUGCUGUUGAAGGCAGGGGUUGGCCAACUAUGGACUGUGGACUCGUCACUUAUUUCAUAAAGUUUCAUCGGACACAGCGUCGAAUGUUCGCGUGUUGCUCCUGCCUCUCUGCCCGGAGGACGGAGCCGAGUGGCUCUCCCAGCUCCUGACGUCGCAGCAGGACAACCCGCCACGGCUCUGCUGCAGAGAAGUUGGCCAGCUUUGCUCCUGGGCCGGUUUGUCCGCUGCCUCGAGCCUUCAGGAAUAAAAGAGCACAGAGAACUUAGGAACAAAGCCUUGGGUCGGAGAAGACGUUCAUGUCUUCUACUCCCCUUCACGGGUAGACACCGGCCACAUGGUCACUGUGCAUGUAGACCGUCUGGGAAACGCAGUCUCGGGCCAAGACGCCUGUUCCCAGCCACGACUCGACAUUAUGAGGGGUGGAGCACACGUGUUGGAGAACAGUCAUCGGUCUCUGCUACCAAACACCUAAUCAGAGCCUCGAAAGGAACCAUGGAAGUCAUGCUUAAUUAAUUAACUCCUAUUCAUCCAGGGUAUCCUAUGUUUCACCAAAUUUUGAGUUCUUAAAAAAGAGAAAUGAAUAAGACUCAAUCAAAUAAGUGAAACCACCAUAUACGGAUCUCUUUCAUUCUUGUUAUAUUCUUGUUACAGUCACCUGAAUA